rnacentral:rRNA from 1 species
AGUGAACGCUGGCGGCAGGCCUAACACAUGCAAGUCGAGCGGCAGCGCGGGGGCAACCCUGGCGGCGAGCGGCGGACGGGUGAGGAAUGCGUCGGAAUCUGCCUCUUUGUGGGGGAUAACGUCGGGAAACUUACGCUAAUACCGCAUACGACCUACGGGUGAAAGCGGGGGACCGCAAGGCCUCACGCAGAGAGAUGAGCGGACGCCGGAUUAGCUAGUUGGCGGGGUAAAGGCCCACCAAGGCGACGAUCCGUAGCUGGUCUGAGAGAAUGAUCAGCCACACUGGAACUGAGACACGGUCCAGACUCCUACGGGAGGCAGCAGUGGGGAAUAUUGGACAAUGGGCGCAAGCCUGAUCCAGCCAUGCCGCGUGUGUGAAGAAGGCCUUCGGGUUGUAAAGCACUUUUGUCCGGAAAGAAAAGCAUUCGGUUAAUAACCGGGUGUCAUGACGGUACCGGAAGAAUAAGCACCGGCUAACUUCGUGCCAGCCGCCGCGGUAAUAC